GAUGAAGAACGCAGCGAAAUGCGAUACGUAAUGUGAAUUGCAGAAUUCAGUGAAUCAUCGAAUCUUUGAACGCACAUUGCGCCCUUUGGUAUUCCUUAGGGCAUGCCUGUUCGAGCGUCAUUUAAACCUUCAAGCUAAGCUUGGUGUUGGGUGACUGUCCGCUUCACGGCGGACUCGCCUCAAAAUUAUUGGCGGCCGGUACAUUGGCUUCGAGCGCAGCAGAAACGCGAACUCGGGCCCGUCGUAUUGGCUCCCAGAAGCUAUCUUCACAAUUUUGACCUCAGAUCAGGUAGGGAUACCCGCUGAACUUAAGCAUAUCAAUAAGCGGAGGA
rnacentral:misc_RNA from 1 species